rnacentral:rRNA from 1 species
AGAAUCAACGCUGGCGGCGUGCCUAACACAUGCAAGUCGAACGAGAAAGUGGUAGCAAUACCAUGAGUAAAGUGGCGCACGGGUGAGUAACACGUGACUAACCUACCCUUGAGUGGGGGAUAACUGAGGGAAACCUUAGCUAAUACCGCAUAAUACCCACGGGUCAAAGGAGCAAUUCGCUCGAGGAGGGGGUCGCGGCCGAUUAGUUAGUUGGCAGGGUAAUGGCCUACCAAGACGAUGAUCGGUAUCCGGCCUGAGAGGGCGCACGGACACACUGGAACUGAAACACGGUCCAGACUCCUACGGGAGGCAGCAGUGGGGAAUUUUGCGCAAUGGGGGAAACCCUGACGCAGCAACGCCGCGUGGAGGAUGAAGUCCUUCGGGACGUAAACUCCUUUCGAUCGGGACGAUUAUGACGGUACCGGAAGAAGAAGCCCCGGCUAACUUCGCGCCAGCAGCCGC